rnacentral:rRNA from 1 species
UACGUAGGGUGCAAGCGUUAAUCGGAAUUACUGGGCGUAAAGCGUGCGCAAGCGGUUUUGUAAGUCUGUCGUGAAAGCCCCGGGCUCAACCUGGGAAUUGCGCUUGAAACUAGGUCGCUAGAGUGUGGCAGAGGGGGAUGGAAUUCCGCGUGUAGCAGUGAAAUGCGUAGAUAUCAGGAGGAACACCGGUGGCGAAGGCGGCUUUCUGGACAGACACCGACGCUGAGGCACGAAAGCUAGGGGAGCAAACAGG